rnacentral:rRNA from 1 species
GAUGAACGCUGGCGGCGUGCCUAAUACAUGCAAGUCGAGCGAACAGACGAGGAGCUUGCUCCUUCGACGUUAGCGGCGGACGGGUGAGUAACACGUAGGUAACCUACCUAUAAGACUGGGAUAACUUCGGGAAACCGGAGCUAAUACCGGAUAAUAUUUCGAACCGCAUGGUUCGAUAGUGAAAGAUGGCUUUGCUAUCACUUAUAGAUGGACCUGCGCCGUAUUAGCUAGUUGGUAAGGUAACGGCUUAACAAGGCAACGAUACGUAGCCGACCUGAGAGGGUGAUCGGCCACACUGGAACUGAGACACGGUCCAGACUCCUACGGGAGGCAGCAGUAGGGAAUCUUCCGCAAUGGGCGAAAGCCUGACGGAGCAACGCCGCGUGAGUGAUGAAGGUCUUCGGAUCGUAAAACUCUGUUAUUAGGGAAGAACAAACGUGUAAGUAACUGUGCACGUCUUGACGGUACCUAAUCAGAAAGCCACGGCUAACUACGUG